UACGGGGGGGGCAAGCGUUGUUCGGAAUUACUGGGCGUAAAGGGCUCGUAGGUGGCCAACUAAGUCAGACGUGAAAUCCCUCGGCUUAACCGGGGAACUGCGUCUGAUACUGGACGGCUUGAGUUUGGGAGAGGGACGCGGAAUUCCAGGUGCAGCGGUGAAAUGCGUAGAUAUUUGGAGGAACACCGGUGGCGAAGGCGGCGUCCUGGACCAACACUGACACUGAGGAGCGAAAGCCAGGGGAGCAAACGGG
rnacentral:rRNA from 1 species